AAUGAUGAUGUCACUGAUUCUACUGCUGGCCACCCUGGGGCUCCUUGUUCAGGAUUCAUCAGGAGAAAUCAUCCUGACUCAGUCUCUUGGAGCUCAGUCUGUUGUUCCAGGACAGACUGUCUCUCUCAGAUGUAAAGCUAGUUCAGGUGUUACUAAUGACUUGCAGUGGUACCUUCAGAAACCUGGAGAAGCUCCUAAACUCCUGAUUUAUGAUGCUCAAACCCGUCAGUCCGGAGUUCCAGAUCGUUUCAGUGGGAGUCAGUCUGGAACUGACUUCACUUUGACCAUCAGAGGAGUCCAGACUGAAGAUGCAGGAGUUUAUUACUGUCAGCAGGAUUACAGCCGUCCGUUCACACAGUGAUACAACGUCGUACAAAAACCUCCUUCAGAUGGAGAGUUAUAGAAAUACUUUAGUAAUUUUCUGACAAUGAAGUCAAACACAUUAAUUUCCUGUAUAGAUUACAUUUCAAAUAAAAUAGAUUUAAUCAAAUGGCAAACACUUUUUUCAUAAUAGUACGUUUUUGGAUAUACCAUUUACACACUAUUGUUCUAAAUCUAAAACUCUUUUGUCUUUCAUAGGCCUAUGUGUACACUUUCAUAAAUUUUUUUACAGUGUAAGUAAUCUGCUAAAAUGUGCUGAGAAGUUCACUGUAAACACCAAUGCAGUGUUGAAACAGCAAAUAUUUAUUUGUCAAAAUAUUACUGCUGUAACAGUAGCACAGUGUUGUAUACAGUACCAUACAAGAAAACCAAAGCAUAAACGUAAGGAAAACCAAAAGUAUAAUUUUUACCUUUAUUGCCAAAAAUGAAUAUUUUUUACAACACUGUACUGCAGAAAUAACCAUUAGAUUGUUGCAACCUGUUCUAAUUUCUGAAGGUUCAAAUUAUGGAUGCUACUGUAAAGGACACAAGAUGAGCAGGACUCCUCCUCUCCCUCCUCCUCUUCCACCAACUCUUUCUCUUUAAACUUGUCCUUGGUGUCGUCCUCUGCCUCUCCCUCCUAGUCCCCUUGCUCUCUGUCCAUUGUUGGCAUCCACUGUUCAAAACAGGUAAUUUGCCCUUUGACCUGUGUAUAGGUCUACUGUAUACUAAAGCAGUGAUUGGUUAGUGAUCAGGUAAGAAGUGUAGCAUUUUGAUUGGUUGUGUUUGGAAAAGGAAAGCAGGUCACUUCCUGUUAGAUUUUUGUGUCUUAGGUAGAGAAUUGUGUGUUUUGAAAAAAGUGUUUUAUGCAAUUGAAAACUGAGUGAAAAGCUGGGAAAUAGCUUGUGGUUUUGGAGAUUUGAGAUGAGGUUUUGCUCUUUGCUCUUUCAAAAAUUGUGUGACAUGUAAAGAUUUUGUGUGAAACCUGCCGUCCACCUUCCUCCACUGGUCUGCAGGGAGCCUCAGGGUGCUG